rnacentral:rRNA from 1 species
GUGGGGAAUCUUGCGCAAUGGGCGAAAGCCUGACGCAGCCAUGCCGCGUGAAUGAUGAAGGUCUUAGGAUUCUAAAAUUCUUUCACCGGGGACGAUAAUGACAGUACCCGGAGAAGAAGCCCCGGCUAACUUCGUGCCAGCAGCCGCGGUAAUACGAAGGGGGCGAGCGUUAUUCGGAAUCACUGGGCGUAAAGCGUGCGUAGGUGGUCUCGUAAGUUAGGAGUGAAAGCCCAGGGCUCAACCUUGGGAUUGCUAUUAAAAAUGAAGGGCUAGAAUCUCGGAGAGGAUAGCGGACAUUCCAGUGUAGCAGUGAAAUGCGUAGAUAUAGGAAGGAACACCAGUGGCGUAAGCGGCUAUCUGGACGAGUAUUGACGCUGAGGCACGAAAGCGUGGGGAGCAAACAGGAUUAGAUACCCGGGUAGUCC